rnacentral:sRNA from 1 species
UGUUAGGGGAAGCCUUGUUGAGGCGGAUGACUAGGAGGUGCUAAGAGGUGGAACAGGAAACCGGAAGGCUCCUUCUUGAGUAGCUGGGACAACAGUCCUAGGCCACCAGGCUCAAGCCCCACUCCACAUCUAUUGGAAAGAGGCUGCUACUGUAUUGCAGGCCAGAGUCUACAGCCUGAGAAGAACCAAGACCACCCAUCACCAUCACCACCCCAAUCUGGCUAUCACCAUACAUUCUCUCCUCCAAAGCUGUUAUCCUCUGCCUCUAAGUGCUCUGACAUGGCCCAGCUGACCUGGUGUCACUUGGACCCUUCAGAAUUUGAAAUGAUUGAAUGUGAGAUUUGUGCGCAGUUGGCGUUCUAGAGUGGGAGACCACACCCGAGGAAGACCACAUUUAGAGGUCUGUGCUUUGACCAGUUUAUUGUUGAGGGAGUUUCCCCCCACCCCCCUAAAGUUUAAACAGCAUCCAAAAGGGGAUGUAUGCAUACUUUUUUUUUUUUUUUUUUUUUUUUUUUUUUUUUUUUUUUUUUUUUGCUGUUUGGAAAAAGUAGGAGUGAAAAUUGGAUGCUUAUAUAAAGAACUGAAGAAGUUCAGGUAAUAAAUAGUCUUAAGAAAAAUAUUCCAAAAGUAAGUUUCCUAAAAGCUUGAGAAAACUACAUACAAAACUACCAAGAUACCUGCAUAAAAAAUCAAAAUAAAACUGACGCUCACAGAAGGCUGAAGACUAGCUGGUAAUUGCACUCAGCAUUAAGCUGACAAUACUAGGCACUAAAAAGCAUGGUAAAUUAUUGGCUCAAACAACAACACCAUGCAGAAGUAGACCCAUAGAAAUAAGAGCUAGAAGGAGCUUUCGAAUUCUGGUUUUUAACUUUGUUCAACAUCUUAGCAAUGCUUUCUUGUUUGUUUGCUUGCUUUUAUGACAAGGUCUUACUAUGCAGCCUAGGCUGGCCUCAAACUUUUGAUCCUCCUGUAUCAAUUGUCUGAGUGCUAUGAUUUUAAGUGUAUACACCAUUCCUAGCAAAUUUAAAACUAUUUUCUCCUUUU